GGUUAAGCGACUAAGCGUACACGGUGGAUGCCCUGGCAGUCAGAGGCGAUGAAGGACGUGCUAAUCUGCGAUAAGCGUCGGUAAGGUGAUAUGAACCGUUAUAACCGGCGAUUUCCGAAUGGGGAAACCCAGUGUGUUUCGACACACUAUCAUUAACUGAAUCCAUAGGUUAAUGAGGCGAACCGGGGGAACUGAAACAUCUAAGUACCCCGAGGAAAAGAAAUCAACCGAGAUUCCCCCAGUAGCGGCGAGCGAACGGGGAGCAGCCCAGAGCCUGAAUCAGUGUGUGUGUUAGUGGAAGCGUCUGGAAAGGCGCGCGAUACAGGGUGACAGCCCCGUACACAAAAAUGCACAUGCUGUGAGCUCGAUGAGUAGGGCGGGACACGUGGUAUCCUGUCUGAAUAUGGGGGGACCAUCCUCCAAGGCUAAAUACUCCUGACUGACCGAUAGUGAACCAGUACCGUGAGGGAAAGGCGAAAAGAACCCCGGCGAGGGGAGUGAAAAAGAACCUGAAACCGUGUACGUACAAGCAGUGGGAGCACGCUUAGGCGUGUGACUGCGUACCUUUUGUAUAAUGGGUCAGCGACUUAUAUUCUGUAGCAAGGUUAACCGAAUAGGGGAGCCGAAGGGAAACCGAGUCUUAACUGGGCGUUAAGUUGCAGGGUAUAGACCCGAAACCCGGUGAUCUAGCCAUGGGCAGGUUGAAGGUUGGGUAACACUAACUGGAGGACCGAACCGACUAAUGUUGAAAAAUUAGCGGAUGACUUGUGGCUGGGGGUGAAAGGCCAAUCAAACCGGGAGAUAGCUGGUUCUCCCCGAAAGCUAUUUAGGUAGCGCCUCGUGAAUUCAUCUCCGGGGGUAGAGCACUGUUUCGGCAAGGGGGUCAUCCCGACUUACCAACCCGAUGCAAACUGCGAAUACCGGAGAAUGUUAUCACGGGAGACACACGGCGGGUGCUAACGUCCGUCGUGAAGAGGGAAACAACCCAGACCGCCAGCUAAGGUCCCAAAGUCAUGGUUAAGUGGGAAACGAUGUGGGAAGGCCCAGACAGCCAGGAUGUUGGCUUAGAAGCAGCCAUCAUUUAAAGAAAGCGUAAUAGCUCACUGGUCGAGUCGGCCUGCGCGGAAGAUGUAACGGGGCUAAACCAUGCACCGAAGCUGCGGCAGCGACGCUUAUGCGUUGUUGGGUAGGGGAGCGUUCUGUAAGCCUGUGAAGGUGUGCUGUGAGGCAUGCUGGAGGUAUCAGAAGUGCGAAUGCUGACAUAAGUAACGAUAAAGCGGGUGAAAAGCCCGCUCGCCGGAAGACCAAGGGUUCCUGUCCAACGUUAAUCGGGGCAGGGUGAGUCGACCCCUAAGGCGAGGCCGAAAGGCGUAGUCGAUGGGAAACAGGUUAAUAUUCCUGUACUUGGUGUUACUGCGAAGGGGGGACGGAGAAGGCUAUGUUGACCGGGCGACGGUUGUCCCGGUUUAAGCGUGUAGGCUGGUUUUCCAGGCAAAUCCGGAAAAUCAAGGCUGAGGCGUGAUGACGAGGCACUACGGUGCUGAAGCAACAAAUGCCCUGCUUCCAGGAAAAGCCUCUAAGCAUCAGGUAACAUCAAAUCGUACCCCAAACCGACACAGGUGGUCAGGUAGAGAAUACCAAGGCGCUUGAGAGAACUCGGGUGAAGGAACUAGGCAAAAUGGUGCCGUAACUUCGGGAGAAGGCACGCUGAUAUGUAGGUGAAGUCCCUCGCGGAUGGAGCUGAAAUCAGUCGAAGAUACCAGCUGGCUGCAACUGUUUAUUAAAAACACAGCACUGUGCAAACACGAAAGUGGACGUAUACGGUGUGACGCCUGCCCGGUGCCGGAAGGUUAAUUGAUGGGGUCAGCGCAAGCGAAGCUCUUGAUCGAAGCCCCGGUAAACGGCGGCCGUAACUAUAACGGUCCUAAGGUAGCGAAAUUCCUUGUCGGGUAAGUUCCGACCUGCACGAAUGGCGUAAUGAUGGCCAGGCUGUCUCCACCCGAGACUCAGUGAAAUUGAACUCGCUGUGAAGAUGCAGUGUACCCGCGGCAAGACGGAAAGACCCCGUGAACCUUUACUAUAGCUUGACACUGAACAUUGAGCCUUGAUGUGUAGGAUAGGUGGGAGGCUUAGAAGUGUGGACGCCAGUCUGCAUGGAGCCGACCUUGAAAUACCACCCUUUAAUGUUUGAUGUUCUAACGUUGACCCGUAAUCCGGGUUGCGGACAGUGUCUGGUGGGUAGUUUGACUGGGGCGGUCUCCUCCUAAAGAGUAACGGAGGAGCACGAAGGUUGGCUAAUCCUGGUCGGACAUCAGGAGGUUAGUGCAAUGGCAUAAGCCAGCUUGACUGCGAGCGUGACGGCGCGAGCAGGUGCGAAAGCAGGUCAUAGUGAUCCGGUGGUUCUGAAUGGAAGGGCCAUCGCUCAACGGAUAAAAGGUACUCCGGGGAUAACAGGCUGAUACCGCCCAAGAGUUCAUAUCGACGGCGGUGUUUGGCACCUCGAUGUCGGCUCAUCACAUCCUGGGGCUGAAGUAGGUCCCAAGGGUAUGGCUGUUCGCCAUUUAAAGUGGUACGCGAGCUGGGUUUAGAACGUCGUGAGACAGUUCGGUCCCUAUCUGCCGUGGGCGCUGGAGAACUGAGGGGGGCUGCUCCUAGUACGAGAGGACCGGAGUGGACGCAUCACUGGUGUUCGGGUUGUCAUGCCAAUGGCACUGCCCGGUAGCUAAAUGCGGAAGAGAUAAGUGCUGAAAGCAUCUAAGCACGAAACUUGCCCCGAGAUGAGUUCUCCCUGACUCCUUGAGAGUCCUGAAGGAACGUUGAAGACGACGACGUUGAUAGGCCGGGUGUGUAAGCGCAGCGAUGCGUUGAGCUAACCGGUACUAAUGAACCGUGAGGCUUAACCUU
rnacentral:rRNA from 1 species